CUCAAAUGUCAGAUCCGUUAACUGCAUUGAUGUAUGCUGUCCAAGUGAUGAACUUUCUUAAGACUCUUAUUGUUAGGACACUUAGGUACAGAGAAGAAUCUGUUAUAGAAUCAGCUCCUUAUUCCCACCUUGAGCCUUCUGAUGAGAAUGGGCACCAGAGCUUUUCUCAACUGUCUUUCAUGGAGGCUAAUGAGGAAGCCAGUGAGGGGAGUGAAGGGCAGAAAGUAUUUAUUUCUGAAGAACCUAGCAUUGGGAGCCCCA
rnacentral:misc_RNA from 1 species